CGGCCGCAUCACGUUGAAGAACAGGUUCCAUACAAUCACCAAAGUUAAGCAACAUCGACCUUGGUCAGUACCUAGGUGGGUGACCGCUUGGGAAUUCCAGAUGCUGUAAG